GCCCGGAUGGUGGAAUCGGUAGACACAAGGGAUUUAAAAUCACUCGGCGUUCGCGCUGUGCGGGUUCAAGUCCCGCUCCGGGUACCA
rnacentral:tRNA from 1 species